rnacentral:misc_RNA from 1 species
AAUUUAUUGGCCAGACAACGUAAUCUUUAUGUUUCCGGAUAUGUAGAAUUACCCAAGAGCAGUCGCUAAGCGAAUGCUCGGUGGUGUACAGGGCGUAAACAUCCUGCUUUUGAAUUGCCAAGACGACGACAUGUCUACCACCCACAAACAGCGUUAUAAAAAUGCCGCCUUGGACUCCACAGAGAUGCGGCGUCGUCGCGAGGAGGUGGGCAUCCAGUUGCGGAAGACCAAACGCGAACAGCAGCUUUUUAAGCGACGCAAUGUGGUCCUGGAGCCGGCUACAUCCUCAACAUCAGCCGGAAUGGAGAGCAUCGUCAGUAACGAACAGCAGGCUGCCGACAUGCACAUGUCUGACAGCAGCACUGGACCAACGCAUUUUUCUGGCGGUCAAAACGAGGCAACCGCUGGAAGCGGGGCACAGCCAUCCGUAAUCAGCGAGGAGAUGAUUCAAAUGCUAUACAGUGGACGUGAAAGCGACCAGCUUGAGGCCACUCAAAAGUUUCGCAAAUUGCUGUCCCGCGAUCCCAAUCCACCCAUUGAGGAGGUUAUCCAGAAGGGGAUAGUGCCGCAGUUUGUCACCUUUUUGCGUAACAGCUCAAAUGCCACGCUGCAGUUUGAGGCCGCCUGGACGCUAACGAACAUUGCCUCGGGCACCUCCCAGCAGACCAAGAUCGUAAUCGAGGCCGGGGCAGUGCCCAUCUUUAUUGAGUUGCUCUCCAGUCCCCAUGAUGAUGUCCAGGAACAGGCUGUGUGGGCCCUGGGAAACAUAGCCGGUGACUCACCCAUGUGCCGAGAUCAUCUGCUCGGCUCCGGCAUUCUAAUGCCUCUCCUGCAUGUAUUGAGCAACUCAGAGCGCAUUACCAUGAUACGGAAUGCGGUAUGGACUCUCUCGAAUUUGUGCCGCGGCAAAAGUCCUCCCGCAGACUUUGCCAAAAUUGUCCAUGGUCUGCCAAUACUGGCACAGUUACUGGACUAUACUGACCCGGAUGUACUAAGCGAUACUUGCUGGGCCAUAAGCUACCUGUCCGAUGGACCCAACGAUAAAAUCCAGGCUGUAAUAGAUGUGGGUGUUUGCCGUCGGCUAGUUGAGCUCCUAUUACAUCCACAGCAGAACGUGAGCACUGCCGCUCUAAGGGCCGUGGGCAAUAUUGUGACCGGCGACGAUCAGCAGACCCAGGUGAUAUUAGGGUACAACGCAUUGCCCUGCAUAAGCCACCUACUGCGUUCCACGGCGGAAACAAUUAAGAAGGAGUCGUGCUGGACAAUCUCUAAUAUCGCAGCCGGCAAUCGUGAGCAGAUUCAGGCCAUAAUCAAUGCCAACAUAUUCCCGCAGCUGAUGGUUAUCAUGCAGACGGCUGAAUUUAAGACUCGCAAAGAAGCCGCAUGGGCCAUUACCAACGCCACCAGCAGCGGAACCUCCGAACAGAUCAACUACCUGGUGCAGGUUGGCUGUGUGCCGCCCAUGUGCGAUUUUCUCACCGUCGUCGACUCGGACAUUGUCCAGGUGGCUCUAAAUGCACUAGAAAACAUUUUGAAGGCAGGUGAAAAGUUCCAGACGCGACCUAAUCCCUAUGCUAUUACCAUCGAGGAAUGCGGAGGUCUGGACAAGAUCGAGUAUCUGCAGGCGCAUGAAAACCGCGACAUUUACCAUAAAUCGUUUUACAUAAUCGAACAGUACUUCGGCAACGAAGAGGAGGAUAGCCGCGUAGCCCCCGUGGCCGGCUCGCAACAGUUUGAAUUCGAUCCAGACAACAUGCCCAGCACAGGAUUUAACUUUUAGCACCUUACCAGGCAGGACAUCGUGUACACUAUUCAAAUGCGAAUUCCUCUCAAGUCAUGAACACACAGCAUACAACAGGAAGCGAAUCCUUGCCGACGGGAUUUAAAUGAAGGCCAGAGCACGGACAUGAAACACAGGCCGCAGGAGAAGGCAGACAUUGCCCAAGUGCAGUCACUACUAGCAUUUAAGUAAAGUUGGUCAUUCGGUCGGCUCGUUUCUUUGUUACACACACUCACCUGCAUUUUGUAUCGGCGGUUAAAUUUAUAGUUUUCGAAGUGGUCCAGGACCAGACAUGACCUUACUCAAAGUUUUCUCCAGCUGGCGAGAUUGCUUUCAUCUAGUUUAUUGAGUUUGUAAAUAUUUUUCAUAAGGCCCAAACGCGUUGAGAUCCUGACAUGGUGUUAUACAUUUUGACGAAACCAACGUUAAUUACGAUAAUGAUAACGAAUAACUUGAAACGUCUUUAUUUGAUUUUGUUAUGCGAAUCGCCGAAUGUAAAUUUGUUUAAAUUAUAAAGCAUUGUAAUUUAAUUUAGAGGACACAUCAAUAAAGAACAUCUAGACCACAGA